rnacentral:snRNA from 1 species
GUACUUCCAAAGUACAUAUACUAAAAUUUGAAUGAUACAGAGACAAUUAGCAUUGCCCCUGCGCAAGAAGACACGCAAGAUCGUGAAGCGUUCCACGAGAAA